UUUUUGUAGCUAUAAGUACGUACAGUACCAACAGCAGCAAAUGUUCCGAGUUCGACUCCUCCGUCCAUAUUGAAAGUUUUUAUGAUAAAGAAAAUAUUAGCUUGGUGCCAAACCGAAAUUCCGUCAGACGUCUUCAGAUGAAAAACACUGAAUACGUGGUAUUCUUUGAAUGGUGAUACUGGGAUUGGUCAGAACGGAUUUAUCAAUGUCAUCUUACAACAGUCUUGGUCCAUUGACAAUCCAAAUCUGGCAGUUACUUCUCCACUUUUAGUUAGAAGCAUGUCGUUUUCCAAGAAUCCAGAACACCACCGACAAUAUUAUAUGGUUUCAGAAGACCAAUGUCAUCAGGAUGUAACACAGAUCCACGAGAUGUUUCCCAGUCUGCCAGAAGAAGUUAUCUGCUCUGUCUUGAAAAACAAAGGCGGUAACCAGGAGCUCGCUAUCAACAUGCUGCUUCGGAUGGGAAGCGAGAUCUAGCCAUGAAACUAAGAACUGGAGGAUGUAUAUAAAUGUGUUAUAAGUGAUACUGCACACCCGUGUAACACACGGGAACUUGAACUAUGACAACCCACCACACACACACACACAAUUUGUCAAUGACUAUGACAACCCCCACACCACAUAUUAUUAUUAGUUAAUGACUAUGACAACCCCCACAACACAUAUUAUUAUUAGUCAAUGACUAUGACAACCCACCACACAAUUUGUCAAUAAUUAUGAUAACCCACCACACAAUUUGUCAAUAAUUAUGACAACCCACCACACAAUUUGUCAAUAAUUAUGACAACCCACCACACAAUUUGUCAAUAACUAUGACAACCCACCACACAUUUUUUCAAUAAUUAUGACAACCCACCACACAAUGUGUCAAUAAUUAUGACAACCCACCACACAAUUUGUCAAUAAUUAUGACAACCCACCACACAAUUUGUCAAUAACUAUGACAACCCACCACACAAUGUGUCAAUAAUUAUGACAACCCACCACAUCAUUUUUAUUGUAGUAAUGAAAAUUGAACUUUCUGCAGACAGAAAAUGUGUUUGAAAACAUAUUUUGAUUUAUAACCGUUAUUUUGUUAAUACUUGUGUAUCAGUUUUUAAAGUAAAGUUAAGUAAAAGCAAAUUGUCGUGUACUUUAACUUCUACGUGCGAGUUGAAUAGAACGAUUUAACUUUUAUGUCAAUGAAUAUUUGAUUACUAUAAUUAUUUAUUACAUUGAAUAAUGUGGUAUCAUAUCAUGCGAGUCUCGUGUAUAAUGUUGUAUCUAGUAUAUUAGCUUUGGUGUCGUAGAUGCGAGUCUCGUGUAUAAUGUUGUAUCUAGUAUAUUAGUUUUGGUGUCGUAGAUGCGAGUCUCGUGUAUAAUGUUGUAUCUGGUAUAUUAGUUUUGGUGUCGUAGAUGCGAGUCUCGUGUAUAAUGUUGUAUCUGGUAUAUUAGUUUUGGUGUCGUAGAUGCGAGUCUCGUGUAUAAUGUUGUAUCU